AUACGGAGGGGACAAGCGUUAUUCGGAAUCACUGGGCGUAAAGGACGCGUAGGCGGGUUAUUAAGUCGGGUGUGAAAUCCAAUGGCUCAACCAUUGAACUGCAUUCGAAACUGAUAACCUAGAGUAUGGAAGGGGCAGGUGGAAUUAGUGGUGUAGGGGUAAAAUCCGUAGAUAUCACUAGGAAUACCGAAAGCGAAGGCGACCUGCUGGGACAUUACUGACGCUGAGGCGUGAAGGCGUGGGGAGCAAACAGGAUUAGAAACCCGAGUAGUCC
rnacentral:rRNA from 1 species